AGAAAUGGAUCACUGUCAGAAAUAUUUUUGUACAAGUACAGGAAGUUGCUUUCAGAAAGGCAGGCCGCAGACUUACACAUGGCCUUGCCUAAGGGGCCCUGGGAUUAGAAAACAGCUUUAUGAUCUUCCAGUGGCUGUGCUUUUUGUUUGUUUUGUUUUGUUUUAUGGAGUUUCUAUUGAUUUGGAUCUGUACUGUGGUCAGACAUUCUCUGAAGCUAAAGAAAAGAAUGCAGAGGCCAGACAUGCUAGAACCUUUCCCUCAGUACUGUCAUUAAGGAUGAAAAUGUGCUUCUGUUUGUCCCAUAUUUCAGGAAAUUGAGGGCAGUGGUGGCAGAAGGUCACCAAGUAUCUGAGAGUGAGAGCAGGCUGCGCUUGGUGCAAGCAGAAGGAUUGUAAGAACAAAUGAAAUCAGGAUGUUUAUAUCAGAGAAAUGAUUCUCCAGUGUCCGGAUCUACUUAUGAGUCUGUGAUGAGCGCACGCAGGAAGUCUCUGGCCGGAAGUCAUGCCACAGAGCAUGCAGGUGCCUUGCAGGAAAGGACGCACCCAUGUUAAGCCCGGAAGGAACCGAGGAAGUCGAGUUCUGCUUGUUUCUCUACCAAUUUUAUUCCCCUGUCUGCACCACCAACCUAGAGCAGCCGGCUAAGUAGAGUACUCUUGGCUGCUGCAUGCGACUAGUGGAGUUGUCUCUGUCUCCUGAAUUCUGGGAUUAAAGGCGUGAGCCACCACUGCUUGAUGAUUUAUUUUCCUUUUUAUAACAGAGGAAUAAGACAGUUAAGAUGCUGACAGACAUGGUUUCUUAAGACAGGAUACAACAGUGGCCAAUCAAGCAUUAGCUGCAGAAAUGAUUUUUCUGAGACAGGGUCUCACUGUGUGGCUUUGACUGGCCUGGAACUCACUCUGUAAACCAGGUUGGUCAAACUCAGAGGUUCUCCUGCCUCUGCCUCCUGAGUGUUGGAAUUAAGGGUAUGUGCUUUUAUGACCCACAUAAAUGCUUUUUUUUAAAAAACUGGGAAGUAUUUCUAAGUAUCUCUAAGGUUAUUUAUUAAAAUGCAUGCCCUUGAAAAUGAGAACUUGAAAACUGGAAGGAGAAUAAGAGAAGUCCUCCUCCAUUUCAGAUGUUGUGGGCUAGAUCUGUUUCCUUUGCCUACACUGUAAAGUUUUGAAAAGAUAACAAAAGCUACCUCUCCUCUUGCACAAGAUGUACCAUCUUGAAUUCUUACAGUGUGGCUGCAGUCCACAUUAAUGGUACAGGAAGUUUUUUGGUUGCUUGCUUUUUAGUUCAUAAUGGAAAUGGAACCUGCUUGCAAAGCUCAUACCCAUGCAUCCUAAAGUAUGAGCAUCAUCUGCCUUGGAGGGAAAAGCUCCACUCAAAACCACUAGGAUCUGAAAGCUUGGUUUGUAGACAUUUGAGCAUCUUAGAAGUGAUGUUAGAGCCCUUUCAGACUCUCUGUUAAUGCUUGUUCAGCAGUGAUAAAUAGUAUUGAUUGGAACCAGGAGCAGAUUAAUAACAGAAGACAGAUAAAAGGGCUUCCCCUUUACCGUCAUUUCCCAAAAGAGAUUGCUCUCAGCUAUUAGAGUAUGAAACGUUCUUCCCUUCCCUAAGUGGAGCCACAGGGAUGCCUGCUCAAGGGAAAAUGCUCCAUCUUUAAGAGCAGUUGAGGAAAGGGUCUACACCCGGCGUUUUGUCAACAGGAUCCAGCUUGCCAUUCUUUGUGUGGUACCUUUAGAUGCUACACUAAGCAAACAAAAAUAUGAGAAAAACAAAAGACCUUUGUUCACAUGUUAAGGGUUUCAUGGGAUGAGUAUUAGAGUCCUGGGUAAGCCAUUGCAUCCAUCUUGUGUGAAUGCUUCCGAAUCCCGAUGUACCUGAAGGUUAUACUGAAACUAGUACUAUUUAUCAGUCACUUGUGAGAAAGCCCUGGGAACUUCCCGUUUCAUGUGGCCUGUGAUAAAGAUUGCAAAAUGUAAUACAACUUUCUUUGUCUCUAAUAUUUUAAGCUAUUUAUGAACGCGUUAGAACUCCCCUGCAGAUGCUGACGCAGACAGAAGACAAUGGAGAGGAGGCUGUAUAUCUGUCUGGUUUGGCUCCUCCCUAGGAGACUUGGGGAGAAAUUGGGACACCUCCACGGACUAAAACGAUGCAGUUUAACAGAAGGACUUACAAGGAUGCCUUGUCUGAGAUAGGAGACAGUACAUGACCAGCAGAACGAUGGGACUGCUGUGAGUAGUUGGAAUAUGAGACCAGAAGACUUUCAACCUCUCCUACUACUGAAUCUAGUGUCUCUACAGAACAAAUACCCGAGAGAGUUGGUGGUGGUGCAGGGCUGUAAGUAACCUCAGCACUUGGAUGGUAGAGGCAGGAGGAUCAGGAAUUCAAGGUCUACCUCAGAUACAGAACCCAGUUGAGGCCCUGUCUCAAAAACACCCCCACCUCUUAAAAAAAAAAGAAUUAGUAUCUGGUCACCCAGUUGCCAUUGGUGUCAAAGUUCUGAUCACAACAUGUGCAGUUUACUGAAGGUAGAACACUGUGGUCACGACCACAAGUCCCAAAAUAGACGUUCUCUUUGGGCCUGAAGGGCCCCUCCCUUGAACUGUGCAGGGUUUGCAUGCGUGCACUUGAAGUUGCGUGCAAUGGCUGGAGGCAUUCUCUUCCCCUAUGCUAACUCAAGAAAACAGAAGGGUGUCUUAGCCAGACACAAGCUGCCCUCACUUGGUCCCUUGCUUCUCUAUGCUCUGGCAGCGGCUGAUGGCUUUCUUCCGUCUCUCAAUCUGUCAGGAGAAUGGUUGAGGCAUAGAGUCUCUCAAUUAGAAUGCAAGCCACCUCCAUUGCGGUCUGCCUGGGUGAGCUUUUUAUUUACUACGUCUGAGUGUGAAAGCCAUGGCUUUUAGCAGGGUGCGUGGAAUAAGUUCUUGUUUUAAGCAAGUGUGAAUAAAGUUCAAGCAAAUGCGAGGCUGAUACUUUCGCCUCCAUCUUGUCUUCUGGACUGUUAGCAUGUUGCCCUUCUCCCUUCUCAUAUUAUUAAUUCAUGAAAGCACUUCCCCAAGAGGACUUCUUCAUGAUAAAAAAACACUUAUUGUUAUAGGGAAUUUGGACAAUAUAGAAAAGCUCAGCUACUGAGAAAUUGCUGAUGCUUUCCUGAUGGCGUUUCUUCUUUCAUUUUUGAGACAGAGUCUCAUGUACCCUAGGCUGGCCUCAAGCGUGACAUGGAGCUGAGAAUAACUUUCGAUUUCUGAUCCUCCUGCUUCUGCCUCCCAAGGGCUGGGGGUCAUUGUCUACAUCUUUCCUUAAACGCAUGUUUCUCUUUUGACCAACCUAGGGCAUCUAAUUUUUUUUUCAUGUUGUAUGAAAUUUUACUGACAUAUUUCCAUUCUCCUGCAACACGACUAUUAGUAACUAUGCUUCUUGUAGGAACAUGUCAUAUGUGUGUUUACUUUACUUUUGGAGGCUAUUUAAGAGGCAGACAACUUUGCUCCCAUGAAUCUUUCUCUGUAGUUUCAUUGUUUUGGUUUGUUUGCUUGUUUGGUUUUUUUAUUUUAUUUAUGAAUACCAACCAAGUCUACCGUCUUGAAUUAAAACUUUGAAGGUUAAUGGAUUGUCUGGUUGUCUGAACCAAUUUGGGGCCAUAUCAGGCUUUCUUUAUUUUUGUUAGUAAAGGACUGCUGGAAUUUAGGACUGAUAGUGACCCUGCCGUGGUCAUGAAUGACAGCAAAAUGCUCCCUAUGUGGGAUUUGAAGAUGUAAGAGGACAGCUUGUCAGACAUGGGCUUGAUGGUAUUUUCUGGAAAGCGAUGAGGACUUUUAUUUUCACAGUGGCAUGAGUACAGAAGUCCAAAAUGUCUCCAUGUUCCCCCAACCCACACACCUAUUGAAGUGUCCCAGUAAGUUGUGAGGCUUCCGUGAGAAGAAGGUAGAUGCAUGUGUGUGCUUCAUUCCUGGUCAAAGGAAAGUGUGCUAGAGCUGAACUCGGAGGUCAUCUGGCCCCAAAAGUUCUCUGUAGACUCGACUCUCUGCAACUUCUAUCCAUUGUCUGUUUUUCCACUGGUGAUAAUAAUAGCCGGUCCCUUCCCCAGGGAUAGUUGGGGCUCAAUUCCUGUUUAUCCAAAGCUUGGAAGCCAGGCCGUGGGAGGGCAAGCGCAAAGGACUGAAAGGGAAGUGCAGCCUUGGCUUGGGUGCACACAUCUCUCACAGAUGGCAAUCUAAUGAGGCUUUGGGUUGCUCGUGAACUUAGCCCCGGGGUUAAUAGCCUUCAUCCUUACAGAGCUUCUGCGCGGGUUGUGCAAGGGACUUAUGAUGUGAUCACCAGGGUAAAAGCACGGCUGUGGGGCUGAUAACAAACAAUUACACAGGCCCGAAAGGAACACCGAUGUUUUAAAACACUUGGCGGACACCGAAGCUGCAAAGCGUGUUAUCGGGCCAGGCCAUCGCCUAGAGGGGCCAGCUGAAGCUCCAUCGAACACAUCCUUUUACAAGCUCUGAGCUUUCGGCGGCCUUUGAAAACCAGUCAAGCUGUGGCUGGCUUUUUCAGAGGCUGCCCGCCGCUCAGUUUACAACAGUACAAAUUGGCAGUGCCGCAAGAAAGAGACUGAAAUCCAAUCCACGGCUGGGAUUGAAAGCUCCAGAGGCUCAGAUGUCAACAGCACUGGGGUAUGGCUUCUCUUCUAAUUAUGUCCUGUCAAAUGAGGGCUGAAAAUGCCAGCCCUAGGCUUGAGACUCAGGCCACUCCAGCCACCAAUGACACUGGGCUGGGGCCCAGUUGAAAUGAUAAAGAAUGAAUUUGAAAACCCCUUCAGUUGAUUUCAAGACUUCCUGGGACUGCGGCAUUUAAACCACAAUGUUCUUCUUUUGGGGCAAAGGUGGGAGCCAAUCAUGAGUGAGGUUUCGUAGCAUGUCCUGUCUAUAUUUGGCUAUAAUCUUGCUUCAUUCAAGUACAUUUAUGGUAUACGCGCUUGAAAAGCGAGACUUCCGCGUUUUUAUCUCUCUUUAUUACAAAGGAGCCUUAUCUUUAUGCAUUUGGAACUGCCUGGGAACUUACAGUAUGGAAGCAGAGUAAAGAGAGCCAGUGUCGAAAAUUCCCUUAAGGAAACAAAACCAAACUUCAAUUGUAGCUUCUGGUUUCACACUAUUUAUAUUUAAGAAGUACAUAAAACAGAAGCCAGUUUAUCCUACGUAAUUCUAACAUGAAACAGAUCUAUGAAACUGUGGGGUGUUGAAGGACACAGAAUGCACUUUACCCAUGAUGUUUGAUUGGAGAUCGAUUUUCAGAGCACUGAAGAAAUAAGCGCAUCCACUCUCCUAUCUUACAGAGGUUUUGAGCUGGCAUCUUUAUUCUGCAGCUUGAGCUAGCUUAGAAUUACCUAUGGAGCCCAGGAUGGCCUGAGAUUGCAAACUAUCCUAUUGUCUCAGCCUCCUGAGUGCUGGGGCGACAGUCAUGAGCCUGGGCCCAAGCCGGGCUUUGAAGUGUUGCAAGGGGAAGAUGAUUGAAUCUUGUAGGGAGCACACAACUGUGAUGAGGCUCACCGGCGUUUUGAGUGAACCCCAUUUGCCCAGCGUCACCCACUUCAUUCCCACCGCGACCUCAGGAAAGAGAGUCGAGUCUUCAAAUCUGCAGACGGAAAAACUCUGGCAGGAGGAAGGGCUCCUGGGGCCCCAACUCUCCCCUACGGACUUAUACAAAGAGAGCCAUGGAUGAGAGGAAACAUUUUCUUUAGUGGGAGAGGCAUGGGAACAGUGCACGUGGCACUGCAAACAGACUCCCACCCCCCUCUACGUAAACCCUCACCCAUGCUCCUGGAAACAGAUAGAACCCAUUGAGUUGGGAGACAAAGAUAUGAAGGUAGAUGGAUGACUAGCUGGGAAGAGAAAGGAAAUUCACUGAAACGGAACCUGAGGCUUGUUCCUAGGUGCUUCAGGAGAUCAUAUCCAGAAGGGUCUCUCAGAUAGGAGCUUGGGAACCCCACGUGGGCCUCUCAUUUAGGGUUUCAAGCUCUGCCAGUCUUAGGGUGCCCUUUAGAAGUCAUCUCAACGGCAUGGAUAACAAAGUGUCUGGGGCAGAGAGCCCCAAAAUAUAGUCCUUUGUGUUUUCAAAAGUAGAGAAACCCUAAGAGGAGUACAAGGCAGCCUAGCCUCUAGGAACUACAAUGGGCCUUCAUCAAUCAAUACUGCAGUGAGGUUCAUGAGUGAGUUAUUAGCUCUCUCUACGGGAUAUUUGGAGUCAGUUUUAGUUGCCACAUCUGGGGUGGGGUGGUAAGGAUUAUAUUAGUUUCGACUGAGUUGACGCUAGGGUUGCCACUAAUCAUCCUAUAAAAAACAGCAUAGCCCUCAGUGCAAAGAAGGAUGUGGCCCCCGACACUAUUGCUCCCUUCCCAGUGUGAAACCCUGUCUUUUUCAUUUGGGGCAUUGUAGCGACCACUCACAGGAAGCUCUGUCUGGGGCUUCUUCAAAGAGUCAUUGUGCAAGCAGGAAGUCAGCAGCCCAUGAAACUAGAAGGGGGAUCAGAAAGCAGACAGAACCACACACAUGGCUUUUAGCUGACUAUAUUUUUCUUCUUGACAGAGAGAGGUCAGUGUUUGCGUCUAUUGCUAGGCCUCAGGAGAAGGCAGGGGCUGCUUUGGUGUAUUAGAUUAAAACAUGAUCUCCUAAGGAAUCACUCUGUGAAUGCUAUUUUAUGUGGAAAAAGACAGUCUUUAUAGAACAUGAUGGAAUUAAAGACCCCUCCUCGUACACACACUGUGACGGGGUUUCAUAUAGUCCAGGAUCGUCUUAGACUACUGAUUCUCCUACCGUUACUUCCUGAAUGCGGGGAUUACAAGUAUGAGUGAAUAUAAUCAGUUUAUGCCGUGGCUUCACACGUGCUAGAAAGCCCUUUACCAAAUGAGCCAUAAUCCCAGCUGUGAAGUUAAAGAGCUGAAGACAAAUUGUUCUGCAACAUCGACGAGGGCCUAAAAUACCUCGCCUAUCUCCUUGGGAGAAGGAAGAAGGGGGAGGUACCGUGUGUGCACACCAGAGAAGGCAAUGUGACAGCAGCAGUAGAAGGUACCGUGAUGAGGCCACAAGCUAAAGAGUGCGGGCCCUGGGAUCUGGACAAACAGCAAAGGCACAGAUGUUCUCUUCGAGCGUCCUGGGGACACACAGCCCAACCCACACCCUGCUUUGGGCCGAGAGAUACUGAUCUCGAAAUUCUUGUCCCCAGAACUGUGAGGGAAUAAAAGUCUCAUUGUGUAGAAAUGGUCAGCCAGUGGCUAUUUGUUCCAGCAGCCCCAGGAGACUCAUUUACCUGGAUACCCUACAGUCCCCAAUUCACCCACUACUAUUAAAGGGCAAACUAUUGACUGCAAACAAGCCCAUUGAGAGGCAAUGGAAAAUUCCUUUGCUCUGGCCUAAUCUGUGGCACCUGCCUCCUCUCUGCCCCUCCCUGUCACUAGUGGUCGCUGACUGCCUAUUCAGCUGCUCAUAUGGCAUCUCCAUCAUACGACGCAAGGCUACAGAGUCUCCUAUGGCGUUUAAUCUGGAUCUCUGGUAUGCAGGGGUGCAGGCCCACGUGCGCCCAUCCUAUAUCACACUGUGUAGUAGUUCUCUUUUCCUCGUUUGCUUAUUUUAUUUUGAGGCAGGGUGUCAUAUAGCCUGAAGUAACUCUGAACUCAUUAUAUAGCUGAGGAUGAUCUUGAACUUCCGUUCUUCAUGCCACCACUGUCCAAGUGCUGGGAUUACUGGUGUGCACUACUCUAUCUGGUUUUAUGUGGUGCUGAGGGUGGAACUAGGGACGUUGUACAUGCUAGGCCAGCAUUACAUUAAUGGAGCCCCAGUCUUAGCCCUAGCUGUGUACAACUAACAUUUUAUGCAUUUAUUUAUUUGGU